GCGGCGCUAGUUCAGUGGUCGAAUGCGGGCUUCCCAAGCCUGAGACACGGGUUCGAUUCCCGUGCGCCGCA
rnacentral:tRNA from 1 species